rnacentral:rRNA from 1 species
AACUGGCUAAUCCCAUGCUUCCAAGAAAAGCCUCGUAGCGAAUCUAUUUGGUGACCGUACCGCAAACCGACACAGGUGGGCGAGGAGAGAAUCCUAAGGCGCUUGAGAUAACUCUGGUUAAGGAACUUUGCAAAAUUACACCGUAACUUAGGGAGAAGGUGUAUUCUGGUGCGUGUAAGAACUUGCUUCUGAAGCGUUCUGGAAUCGCAGUGAAGAGGGAGUGACGACUGUUUACUAAAAACAUAGGACUCUGCAAACUCGUAAGAGGAUGUAUAGGGUCUGACGCCUGCCCGGUGCUGGAAGGUUAAGGGGAGAUGUUAUUCAAGGAAACGAGGAGAAGCAUUGAACCGAAGCCCCAGUAAACGGCGGCCGUAACUAUAACGGUCCUAAGGUAGCGAAAUUCCUUGUCGGGUAAGUUCCGACCUGCAUGAAUGGCGUAACGAUUGCUCCGCUGUCUCAACCAGGGACUCAGCGAAAUUAUAAUGGGGGUGAAGAUACCCUCACCCCGCGGCAAGACGGAAAGACCCCGUGAACCUUUACUAUAGCUUGACAGUGAACUUCGGAAUAUCAUGUGUAGGAUAGGUGGGAGGCUAUGAAGCGUUGGCGCAAGCUGGCGCAGAGCCGACCUUGAAAUACCACCCUUGUUGUUUUGAGGUUCUAACUCAGGUCCCUUAAUCGGGAUCGAGGACAUUGUCUGGUGGGUAGUUUGACUGGGGCGGUCGCCUCCAAAAAUGUAACGGAGGCGCACUAAGGUCGGCUCAGGCUGAUUGGAAACCAGCCGAUGAGUGCAAAGGCAUAAGCCGGCUUGACUGUGAGACCUACAAGUCGAGCAGGAACGAAAGUUGGUCUUAGUGAUCCGGUGGUUCCAUAUGGAAGGGCCAUCGCUCAACGGAUAAAAGGUACUCCGGGGAUAACAGGCUUAUCUCCCCCAAGAGUUCAUAUCGACGGGGAGGUUUGGCACCUCGAUGUCGACUCAUCGCAUCCUGGGGCUGAAGUAGGUCCCAAGGGUUUGGCUGUUCGCCAAUUAAAGCGGUACGUGAGCUGGGUUUAGAACGUCGUGAGACAGUUCGGUCCCUAUCUGCCGUGGGCGCAGGACAAUUGAGAGGAGCUGUCCCUAGUACGAGAGGACCGGGAUGGACGAACCUCUAGUGCACCAGUUGUCACGCCAGUGGCAUAGCUGGUUAGCUAUGUUCGGAAGAGAUAACCACUGAAAGCAUCUAAGUGGGAAGCUCGCCUCAAGAAUAGUUGUCCCGUCUGGUAGCAAUACCGGGCUAAGAUCCCAGAAAGACGAUCUGGUUGAUAGGCCGAUGGUGUAAGCACAGCGAUGUGUUGAGCCUAACGGUACUAAUAGAUCGAGAGGCUUGAUC